rnacentral:rRNA from 1 species
UAAUACGGAAGGUCCGGGCGUUAUCCGGAUUUAUUGGGUUUAAAGGGAGCGCAGGCGGCAUAUUAAGCGUGACGUGAAAUGCGGCGGCUCAACCGUCGAUGUGCGUCGCGAACUGGUUUGCUUGAGUGCGUGCGAGGAUGGCGGAAUUCGUGGUGUAGCGGUGAAAUGCUUAGAUAUCACGAAGAACUCCGAUUGCGAAGGCAGCUGUCCAGUCCGUAACUGACGCUAAUGCUCGAAGGUGCGGGUAUCGAACAGGAUUAGAUACCCUGGUAGUCCGCACGGUAAACGAUGGAUGCCCGCUGUCGGCGAUAUAUUGUCGGUGGCUAAGCGAAAGCGUUAAGCAUCCCACCUGGGGAGUACGCCGGCAACGGUGAAACUCAAAGGAAUUGACGGGGGCCCGCACAAGCGGAGGAACAUGUGGUUUAAUUCGAUGAUACGCGAGGAACCUUACCCGGGCUUGAACUGCAGCAGAACGAUUCAGAGAUGAUGAGGUCCUUCGGGACUGCUGUGGAGGUGCUGCAUGGUUGUCGUCAGCUCGUGCCGUGAGGUGUCGGCU